CGGCGGGUGCUGAGACUGCAAGUCGAACGGGUCUCCCGGGCUUGCUCGGGAGGCUAGUGGCGGACGGCUGAGUAACGCGUAGGUGACCUGCCCCGAAGUGGGGAAUAACUGCCCGAAAGGGUGGCUAAUACCGCAUGUGGUCGCUCGUUCGGUCGUGCGAUCAAAGCCGCAAGGCGCUUCGGGAGGGGCCUGCGUCCGAUUAGCUCGUUGGUGGGGUAACGGCUCACCAAGGCGACGAUCGGUAGGUGGUCUGAGAGGACGACCACCCAGACUGGGACUGAGACACGGCCCAGACUCCUACGGGAGGCAGCAGUCGGGAAUUUUGCUCAAUGGGCGAAAGCCUGAAGCAGCAACGCCGCGUGAGGGAUGACGGCCUUCGGGUUGUAAACCUCUUUUCUCAGGGACGAUGAUGACGGUACCUGAGGAAUAAGCCACGGCUAACUACGUGCCAGCAGCCGCGGUAAUACGUAGGUGGCGAGCGUUGUCCGGAUUUACUGGGCGUAAAGAGCGCGCAGGCGGUCGGAUUAGUCGAGUGUGAAAGCCCCCGGCUCAACUGGGGAGGGUCACUCGAUACUGUUCGACUUGAAGACGGGAGAGGGACGCGGAAUUCCCGGUGUAGUGGUGAAAUGCGUAGAUAUCGGGAGGAACACCAGUGGCGAAGGCGGCGUUCUGGCCCGCUCUUGACGCUGAGGCGCGAAAGCCAGGGGAGCAAACGGGAUUAGAUACCCCGGUAGUCCUGGCUGUAAACGAUGGAUGCUAGUGUUGGUGGUAUCAACCCCGCCAGUGCCGCAGCUAACGCACUAAGCAUCCCGCCUGGGGAGUACGGCCGCAAGGCU
rnacentral:rRNA from 1 species